UUUCUUCUGCUCCUUCUGGGUCCUCCUGGAUCUGCAAUGUGUAGUAAGGAAAACUGAGUCGUGGGGGAGACAGAACUUUUUCUGUCACUCUCCUUAUAACUCAAG